GUCUGCAGCUGACAGGGAUGUACCUAGAUGCAUGAAGUCCUGAAUUGAGGUUUUUUUUUCCUACUCUUGGGGCCAUCCUGCCAGGCUCCGGCUCUUGUCUGUUCCUCUCGAGGGCUCAUCAGAGGCAGCAUGCCUUGGUUGUCUUUCCAUUGCUACACUUCAGCCUGAAGACUUAUCUUUAAUGGAGUUAUUUCCUUCCAGCCUCUCACCAUCCCUGACAGGCCCGUUACAUAAAAGAGGAAGGCAGGAAACCCAGAGGAUGAUGUCCUGGCUUGCUGGUGGCAGGGCCUGCUGAGUGCGACAUGGUCUGCACUAGUCACUCUCCCAGCCUGUGACUGGCCUGUUUACCUAGGGAUUCUGGUUGACACUAAAUCAUCUUCCAGCCCAAGGAAAAGCUCUGCCUGAGGAAAAACAGCUCUGGAGAUGCUUCUCUGAAGCCUUGUGACCACAGGGCAACUUCAGCUCUGAAGGAUGUGGAUGCUGGGAGCCAAUCUCCUGCCACCAGGCCCAUGAGCUCUGCUCUCUUGGAGCCCUCUGCAAGGGCCCACCUGUGCCAGGUGGUGGGCAAUCUGAUUGAUCUGGUAGGCUAAAUGGAAAGGCUUCUUCCACAAGGAAACAACAGUAUGAUAGGCCAGAGUCAGUGAUCUUGAGAGCAGCAGGCCAAUAGCUUCAAGGUACAAUUGGA